CAAGGCUUGACAUGUAGAAGAACACCGCAGAGAUGCGGGACUCUUUGGACACUUCUAUACAGGUGGUGCAUGGUUGUCGUCAGCUCGUGUCGUGAGAUGUUCGGUUAAGUCCGGCAACGAGCGCAACCCUCGUCCUAUGUUGCCAGCGGGUUAUGCCGGGGACUCAUGGGAUACUGCCGUGGUCAACACGGAGGAAGGUGGGGAUGACGUCAAAUCAUCAUGCCCCUUAUGUCUUGGGCUUCACGCAUGCUACAAUGGCCGAUACAAAGGGCUGCGAUACCGCGAGGUGGAGCGAAUCCCAGAAAGUCGGUCUCAGUUCGGAUUGGGGUCUGCAACUCGACCCCAUGAAGUCGGAGUCGCUAGUAAUCGCAGAUCAGCAACGCUGCGGUGAAUACGUUCCCGGGUCUUGUACACACCG
rnacentral:rRNA from 1 species